rnacentral:rRNA from 1 species
GACAGAGGCCUCAAGCGUUAGGCGGAAUCACUGGGCUUAAAGCGUGUGUAGGCGGAUCGUUAAGUGUCUUGUGAAAUCCCACGGCUCACCCGUGGAACUGCUGGGCAUACUGGCGAUCUUGGGCCAACUAGGGGCAACUGGAACAAGCGGUGUAGCGGUGAAAUGCGUAGAUAUCGGGAGGAACACCUGUGGCGAAAGCGGCUUACUAGACGACAACUGACGCUGAGGCGCGAAAGCUAGGGGAGCAAACAGG